CCUACGGGUGGCAGCAGUAGGGAAUAUUGCUCAAUGGGGGAAACCCUGAAGCAGCAACGCCGCGUGGAGGAUGAAGGUUUUAGGAUUGUAAACUCCUUUUGUUAGAGAAGAAAAAGACGGUAUCUAACGAAUAAGCACCGGCUAACUACGAGCCAGCAGCCGCGGCAAUACGGAGGGGGCAAGCGUUAUUCGGAAGCACUGGGCGUAAAGGGCGCGUAGGCGGGAUAGCAAGUCAGAUGUGAAAUCCUAUGGCUUAACCAUAGAACUGCAUUUGAAACUGUUAUUCUAGAGUAUGGGAGAGGUAGGUGGAAUGCUUGGUGUAGGGGUGAAAUCCGUAGAGAUCAAGAGGAACACUCAUUGCGAAGGCGACCUGCUAGAACAUAACUGACGCUGAUGCGCGAAAGCGUGGGGAGCAAACAGGAUUAGAUACCCCGGUAGUC
rnacentral:rRNA from 1 species